CUACGGGCUGCAGCAGUGGGGAAUAUUGCACAAUGAGCGAAAGCUUGAUGCAGCCAUACCGCGUGUGUGAAGAAGGCCUGAGGGUUGUAAAGCACUUUCAAUUGGGAGGAAGGUUAAGUAGUUAAUACCUGCUUAAUUUGACGUUACCUUUAGAAGAAGCACCGGCUAACUCUGUGCCAGCAGCCGCGGUAAUACAGAGGGUGCAAGCGUUAUUCGGAAUUACUGGGCGUAAAGCGCGCGUAGGCGGAUUAUUAAGUCAGUUGUGAAAGCCCUGGGCUCAACCUGGGAACUGCAUCUGAUACUGGUAGUCUAGAGUUUAAGAGAGGGAAGUGGAAUUCCAGGUGUAGCAGUGAAAUGCGUAGAUAUCUGGAGGAACAUCAGUGGCGAAGGCGACUUCCUGGCUUAAAACUGACGCUGAGGUGCGAAAGCGUGGGUAGCGAACGGGAUUAGAUACCCGCGUAGUC
rnacentral:rRNA from 1 species